rnacentral:rRNA from 1 species
UUAUCAAAAACAUGUCUUUUUGUAAUUAAUUUAAAGUCUAACCUGCCCAUUGAAUUAUUUUAAAAGGCUGCAGUAUUUUGACUGUACAAAGGUAGCAUAAUCAUUAGUUUUUUAAUUGAAAACUUGUAUGAAUGGUUUAACGAGAUAUUUUCUGUUUCAUAUAAAUUAUAUUAGAAAUUAAUUUUUUAGUUAAAAAGCUAAAAUAGAAUUUAAAGACGAGAAGACCCUAUAGAGUUUUAUAUACUUUUUUUUUUAGUUUUUUAUAUUAAUUUAAUUUUUAAAAAAAUUUAUAUUUUAUUGGGGUGAUUAUAAAAAUUAAAAAUCUUUUAUUAUUUUUAAACAUAGAUUUAUGAAUAAUUGAUCCAUUAUUAGUGAUUAAAGUUUAAAUUACCUUAGGGAUAACAGCGUAAUUUUUUUGUAGAGUUCUUAUCAAUAAAAAAUUUUGCGACCUCGAUGUUGGAUUAA